GUAACUUCUAUAAAGUCAUAUAUAAUUUUAUACUGAGCAUUUUUCUGGGAUGCUUUUUCUUCUUUGUUUGCUAUUCUUUGCAUUGAGUAAGUACAGACCACUGUAUAAAUAACACUACUGCUUAGAUAGCAUUCCAGUAACAAUUUUUGUCCUAGGUUACCACCCAAAUGUUCUGAGCAGUAGCAUUAAUUUCUAUUUAUAGAAAACAGAUGAGAACCUGUAAGAGUGAAGGGUAAACCAAUUUAGUCUGUAAAAUAAAUGCAAAGUUGUACUUGAUAUGCUUAGUCCUUACUUUUCACGGCAUGUGAGGAAUGUCCUCAUGAUUUGUCAAAUACAUAUGGGGUGAUUUGGAAAAAGGCCAUCUACCUUGUGGCAUUAUACAAAUAGAGACUGCUGCUGCACUCAACAAUACACAAGACUAAAAGAAUUUGAUCCCCCUGAGAUUUACUUGGAAAUAUGAUUGUAAGGAAAUUGGAUUGCUUUGCUGAUAUUCAUUACUGCAGAGAAAAUGUGGUGAAAGGAUGAUCAAAAGUGAGACCAAGAAAAGGUCCACAGAGAACAAACCAGCUCUUGAAUAACGUAUUUUGAAAUAUGCUAUUAUACAGAGUAGACCUAAUUUGAAAAUGGCAGAUGGAGAUCACAUAAUUUAUGAGCUUCACAAAGAAGGAAAAGUAAUUCACAGCUCCACCUUCACUGCUCUGCUCAGCGAAGACCAAGGACAAAUGGCAGGAAAACCUGGAGAGUUUCGCUGCAGGUCAGGAGUAGCCACUAGGAGGGGCUGACUGCCUUGAAGAGACGGUAGGGGUUGAUUUACUAACAAUUCCAAUAAAAAGCGCUAAUAAAAU
rnacentral:lncRNA from 1 species